ACGGAAGGCAGCAGUGGGGAAUAUUGCACAAUGGGGGGAACCCUGAUGCAGCGACGCCGCGUGAGCGAAGAAGUAUUUCGGUAUGUAAAGCUCUAUCAGCAGGGAAGAAACAGGACGGUACCUGCACAAGAAGCCCCGGCUAACUACGUGCCAGCAGCCGCGGUAAUACGUAGGGGGCGAGCGUUAUCCGGAUUUACUGGGUGUAAAGGGAGCGUAGACGGCUGUGCAAGUCUGGAGUGAAACUCCGGGGCUCAACUCCGGAACUGCUCUGGAAACUGUGCGGCUCGAGUACCGGAGGGGCAGGCGGAACUCCUAGUGUAGCGGUGAAAUGCGUAGAUAUUAGGAGGAACACCAGUGGCGAAGGCGGCUUGCUGGACGACAACUGACGCUGAGGCGCGAAAGCGUGGGGAGCAAACAGGAUUAGAUACCCUGGUA
rnacentral:rRNA from 1 species